UCUUAUCCUUGGUGCAGUCCAUGUCUCUGGUCAUGUCCUCUAGCACGAUUCUAUCUUAUUGUUUAUUUACCAGUUACUCCAGUAUUUAGUAUCUGUAUUGUAUAAUAUUGAUUCCGUCACCAGAUGGUCCACUAGAAUGGAAAACAAGUUGUGACGAUGGGAGAUGAUACGCGAUUGCAGUGUUUUCCUUAUCAUUUUAAUUAAUCCUAUCCCUUCCCCUCUUUCAGUGUUAAAGAUCUGGAUACGGUAGACAAUGGGUGCACUGACUACAUCUUUUCAACUUAGUAUGCAAACGAUUGGGAUGUUCAAAUAGCACACUAUCUCGGGGUGUUUACUGGCACCUAGUUGAGCUAAAGAGAACAUUGAUUAUCAAAAUAUCGGAGUUUCGAUUUUGGAGCCGUGAGAAAUUUUUCUCAUAUUCGAGAAUAAAGUGUUGUGUUGAGGUCUGAGACGAUCUGAUGUGAUAUCGGUUGAGAUGUCCGAAAAUUUUCCCAUAUUCCAGAUUAAUCGAAUAGAUUGAUCAAUACUACAAGCCAAACUUCACUAUAUGGUAAUUAAGUUUCUCGAAUUAUUUUUGAUCAAGUUAUUGUAUUUUAUGAAAGAUGAUUUGCUGUCACUUGGAUAUGAUGGAAUGGUGCGAUUAAAUAAAUUUGUACUCAGAGAUUUGGGUUGGUUAAAGAAAA